AACCGGUACGAGGUAAAUUUCUUAGAGAUCAGAAUCAUGGCUUCAGAUGGUAUUUUUAAUACUACGGUCUAUGUCAAACUCCCCGUAACCCCCGUAAUUAUACCUAGGUGGUCUUUUGAUCCUUGGUCAUAUAAAAAAUCCGCAUUUAUUUCGUAUUUUAACCGCUGUUUCACACAUUGUAGUACUCAACCUCUUCGUGAAGCUGAGAUCGAUAGAAUUUUCAAUAUUGGGCAUAAACAUGGUUAUUCCACCAGAUUCAUGCAAGACCUAUUACAUAAAUGAGAGAGAGUUUUCCAAGAGCAGUUUGUCUCCCCAGCACAACCUAGCUCUCUCCCUUCUCCAGAACCUACUACAGUCACGCAGUGCUGGUUCCCUGUGCCAUAUGGGCUCCACUCGAA
rnacentral:lncRNA from 1 species